rnacentral:rRNA from 1 species
UACGUAGGGGGCAAGCGUUGUCCGGAUUUAUUGGGCGUAAAGAGCGUGUAGGCGGCCAGGUAGGUCCGUUGUGAAAACUCGAGGCUCAACCUCGAGACGCCGAUGGAAACCAUCUGGCUAGAGUCCGGAAGAGGAGAGUGGAAUUCCUGGUGUAGCGGUGAAAUGCGCAGAUAUCAGGAAGAACACCCGUGGCUAAGGCGGCUCUCUAGUACGUGACUGACGCUGAGACGCGAAAGCGUGGGGAGCGAACAGG